GCCGGGUGUGGUGGUGCACACCUGUUGUCCCAGCUACUUGGGAGGCUGAGGUGGAAGAAUCGCUUGAACCCAGGAGAUGGAGGUUGCAGUGAGCUGAGAUCGUACCACUGUACUCCAGCCUGGGUGACAGAGUGAGACUCUGUCUCAA
ensembl:misc_RNA Metazoa_SRP Metazoan signal recognition particle RNA